rnacentral:rRNA from 1 species
CCUACGGGCGGCUGCAGUGGGGAAUAUUGGACAAUGGGGGCAACCCUGAUCCAGCCAUGCCGCGUGUGUGAAGAAGGCCCUCGGGUUGUAAAGCACUUUCAGUGAGGAAGAACGCCUGGUGGUUAAUACCCAUCAGGAAAGACAUCACUCACAGAAGAAGCACCGGCUAACUCCGUGCCAGCAGCCGCGGUAAUACGGAGGGUGCGAGCGUUAAUCGGAAUUACUGGGCGUAAAGCGCGCGUAGGUGGCUUGAUAAGCCGGUUGUGAAAGCCCCGGGCUCAACCUGGGAACGGCAUCCGGAACUGUCAAGCUAGAGUGCAGGAGAGGAAGGUAGAAUUCCCGGUGUAGCGGUGAAAUGCGUAGAGAUCGGGAGGAAUACCAGUGGCGAAGGCGGCCUUCUGGACUGAAACUGACACUGAGGUGCGAAAGCGUGGGUAGCAAACAGGAUUAGAUACCCUGGUAGUC